AAUUAUUUCCCGAGAACAGCCGUUUCCAACUCUUCUAGUUUUUUGGGAUCUGCAUGUCAUCGCUUAAUUUGGUCCCAAAUGUGUUCGGUUGGGUUCAAAUCUGGACUUAGAGGAGGUCACAUCAAGCAAUCAAUUCCAGCCUAAUUCAGGCAGUCAUCCACAAUACAUGGCACUACAUGUUCUUCGAUUAUGUCUCUUGCAGCUAACGGGCUUAAUUUUAAACUAAAUAAAUUGACUGGUGCGUUAAAUUUGUCCAUCGGACUAUUUUGGUUGAAUAUGGAAGAAGUAAAACAAUUUUUGAUAGACAGGACAACUAGCUACGUUCAACUACCAGUUUUGAGCAUCGUGGACGAGAGGGGUGUUAAUACAAAUCCUGACGCUGGAUAGUGAUGUAUAUAACGUACAUGAUACAUGUUGAGGAGCACAAGUCAUGUUUUAAACGUGUCAAAUAAUGAGCAAAGAAGAUUUGAAAGACAGAAAAAGGUUUACGAAUAAGAAUUAUAUAAUUAUAUUAAAUGAAAUCAACGAAGGGAAAAAAUUAACAGAAAGCGAUCUUUGGGCGUACCAGAAUGGAAGG